GGUUAUUACAGUCUCGCAGUAGCGCUGGAGGAUCGGACCGACCCUGUGCUCCGUGAAGAGAGUAUCCGUGAGCUAGCGAGUGAGAGCGCACUAGCAGCGACAAACCGGGAAUAAACCGUGGGGGCUUUUUCUUUUAUUUUUCGGGGGGGUUCUUUUUUUUUUUUUUUUUUUUUUUGGACAACAACAUAUCAUCGUAACCCGGGGACAAAAGUGAUCAGGACGACACUAAGAUCGGGGGGACUGGAGCAGCAAGUUUUUUUUUUCAUUUUUUCUGGGUUUGUUGUGAGCCGGAUCGCUUUGUGUUCAGUGGCUGUUUUCUUGAUUUGAAGACAACUUCAAUUAAAAAUGAUGGUUGGAGAAAUUGAAGUGAAGGAGAGACCGAGGCCGAGUCCUGAUUAUCUCAUGCAGCUCCUCAACGAGAAGAAGCUGAUGGCGAGUUUACCCAACCUCUGCGGUAUCUUCACGCAUCUCGAGCGGCUCUUAGAUGAAGAAAUCACCAGAGUAAGAAAAGAUAUGUACAGUGACUCAGUGAACGGCCUUGUAGAGAAGCAUCCCUUGGAAUUACCUGAGCCUGUAGGACCUAUUGUACACCUACAAGAAAAGCUCUUUGUGCCUGUAAAAGAAUAUCCUGAUUACAACUUUGUUGGAAGGAUUUUGGGUCCCCGAGGUCUCACAGCCAAACAGCUGGAAGCAGAAACUGGAUGUAAAAUUAUGGUGCGAGGAAAGAGUUCAAUGAGAGACAAAAAGAAGGAGGAGCAGAACCGAGGCAAGCCAAACUGGGAGCAUUUAAACGAAGACUUGCAUGUGCUGAUCACUGUGGAAGACACACAGUGCCGGGCAGAAAUUAAGAUGAGGAGAGCGGUGGAAGAAGUGAGAAAACUUCUUGUGCCAGCAGCAGAUGGAGAGGACAACCUGAAGAAGAUGCAGUUAAUGGAGCUGGCCAUCCUUAAUGGCACCUACAGAGACACAAACAUUAAAACACCCACACUUGCUUUUUCUCUUGCAGCUGCUGCGGCAGCAGCACAGGGGCCCAGGCUCAUAGCUGCCCCGGCAGGGCAAGUUUUGCCACCCACAGCUUUGAGACCUCCAACACCGGCUGGCACCCCUAUCAUGAAUAUCAUCAGGCCAAUCCAGGCAGCUGCCAUGUUGCCAAAUGGGACACCUACUUUGGUGCCCCCCACGCCAGAGGCUGGCAUCAUCUACGCAACACCAUAUGACUAUCCAUAUGCACUGGCUCCAACAUCCCUGCUGGAAUACCCCAUUGAGACCAGUGGGGUACUAGGUCUGGCAUUCCCAACUAAAGGCUAACUAAAAAUGCAGAAGCUGCGUUAAAGAAGCUGUUGGAUAUUUUUCCUUAAACAAAACUAGCUACUGAGGAGCACUUCAGUGAUCUCUUCCGAAACACUGGGGGCAUGCAUUCUGUUCUGCUGGUUGACUUUUAGGCACAGGGUUUAAAAAAGACUUGUGUUAAGGGGUCUCAUUUCACGUAUUCAUUUCAGUUCUAAUGACGCUGUGACUGCUAGGAUCAGUAAGCAGACAUUUAUGCAAUAGACUCUUUUCUGUCAAGACAUCACUUUAGUUGCCUUGUGGUUUGGUUUCCACUCAGAUCCUGAGCUAAGGCCAGCGUUUUUCAGGAAGUGGGUGGCAGAGUUUGUUCCUACAUAACUGUGGAAGAGAUGUUGUUUGGGUGGUGGGAUAUGGGAAUGCUGACAAAACUGGAGGGGGCAGAGAACACUAAAGUGUGCCAGCCCCGGUUACUAAAACUGUAUAGCUGGGUCUCUUAUGUGAAUAUUAGGGGCUUUUUGUAAGGGGACCUAUAUAAAUAUAAUGUGAUUGUUUAACAACUUGGAUUGGUGCUUUAUUAGAUUUAGCCCAUCUUGAAUGACAAGAACUGAAAUGAAUUAAAGAAAUAAUUAUUAGUGAAUAGCACCAGAAGGUUAUUUAACAGCAUCUUGUUGCAUCCCAUAUGCCUUGUCACCUAAGCAAUCUUAUCUGUCAGAUCCAGUCAGUACAUGUAAAUAGUGAUUAUGUUUUUAAAGUCUGCACUUCAUUAUUUACACAUCUCCCAGUUUUUGUAUAGUAUUUUAAAAGUGAACAAAUUGUGAAAUAUAUGCAAUUUACUAUAUGGUUUACUAUGAUGUAAGUUAUACACAGAUGUAAGUUAUAAGGUUAAAUAUUUUUUAUUUUAAAAAUGUCUUUAUGUAUUCUCUGGUUGAUUUUCUAAUACUGUUGUAAUCUUAGGUGCAAUGGCAACUAAAGUUCGGAGACAUGACACGCGCGUCCAUCCUUACCAAAGGAUUGUGACCGCAGACAGAGCCGCCACCGGCAACUAACACAUGACCUUCUGACCUCUGAAAUCUUCACCCAAUGAUGAGCUGACCAUGCCUGCCUGCUGAUCAGUUAACUGGUAAUCACCUUUGCUUGCCUGUCUCGGAUGCAGCGAGCUGAGGCACUUUGUCUGUAUUGUAGCCUAACAACUUGUUUAAAACAACUACAAGCAACAUCAAAAAAAACAAACUACUCUUCUUCCCUCCCCUCCCUUUUUUUUGAUUUGAUUCUUAUUUUGUCUUUUCGGGGAGGGGGGGCGUCUCAGCUUGUAUUCAGGUUUGGGUGAAUGUGUUAUUCCAGAAACUGCACUGAAUAACUAAAAGCAAUAAGGUGAACCCUCUCCCACUGUUCUUCAGUGACUGUGUUUUCAAAGAGAAAAAUAAAAACAAAGCAAAAUCCUUUAUAUUUGUAUGUGUGCGAAAUGUGCACUUGAUUUGUGCACUCCACUCAGCGGCUUGAUGAUUUCUAUCCGCUGCCAGUUUUGGAGGCAGUGCCAUGCUUGUUUCGUUUUUUUUUUUUUUAUAUGUAGCCCCUCGUUCCCUUAACCCCGAAAGAUACCUUUUAAGGAGAAAACAGACUCACUGAAUACCUUGAAGGCGUCUAUUUUGUCCUUUCACCUAAAGUCUCGUCCCAAAGCUCUGAACUGUUUGCGUUGACACAUUAUGGAUGUGCCCGGGUAGUUGCCCAUAAUUGUGGACUGAGCUGUAGCCUCUAAACUGUGCCAUCUGUAAUUGGAGCUCAGUGUGACAAGUCACCCUCUUGUCUCAAGUGUGAGGGCUCACGUGUGCCAUUUUGUGCUCUGUAUGGUUAGCUAACAAAACCGCUUGAGCCAAAUACUGCUGGUCUUCAAGGAUGGCAGCCACCGGAGUGGGUAGUAGAAGUAAUGAGCCUUGGCACAGCUGUUUCUUCCUUUUCCUGUGCCUCUCUUGUUUCCUUUACUGUUGAAAACUUCAGUUGCCUUAAACUACAAGUUUUGAUUAAGUGUCUAACCUUCAUCCUGACCCUCCAAAACACCCCGAUGCGGUGGUCAUCCAUAAUGUGUCUCCAUGUGUUUUUAGAUACAGAGGUAUGCCGGUGUUUGUUAAUUUUACCAAUUUUAAGAAAAACAAAAAAGAAAAGAAAAAAAAGGAUGUGAAAGCCAUGCUUGCCUGUUCUUAUUGCUCUUUAUCUGUUCUAUAAAGUGUAGAUAAGUCGUUGCAUAUAAAUUACAGAGGAUACCUAGAUACUUUUACAGGGUGCUGGUGAAGAAAAUAUAUUUUUGCCAAUUUUAGCUUUUUAUACUUAACUUGCAGUUACAUACUAAAUGCUUAAAGUUAAAAAAAAAUAAUAAUAAUAAAAAAGUGACAUUGGAAAGUAGUGGCUGGGACAAUUAAGACCAAAAUAGUAAACCUAGGAAUGUUGCAGGAAACAGAAGUAGAGAUUCAAAGUGCCUUAUUAUUGCUGAUUCCUUUCUAAACGCAUCUACCAGUUGGAUAAUAUUGGGAAAUGGAAUUUAUAGCUCCUGCCAACCAGGGCUAAACUUGUCAGGUUUUUUAUUUUUUUUUUGUCCCCCCCCCACCCCACCCCCCACCUCUCUGUCCCUCUCUGUCUCUCUCUCUCUGAACAAUAGGGGCUUAGAUUAGACAUGAAGUUACUGAUCGUAUUGACAGUCGACGCUAAUAUUAUUCUAUGCAACAGAAAAGCAGUAACAAGGCCAGCUAAAUAUUUGUGCCAUGGUUUGUCUUCCUGAGCUCUGAGGGGGUUCUUUAGUGUGUGUACAGACAGUAUGUGUGCCAUUUGAACAAUAAAGUUCAGCUUGAGUGUUGUUUCAUUUUUAUUCUUUUUUAGAUUGGUUUUUCAUUGUUAUAUAUAUAUGCUUUUUUUUUUUUUUUUUUUAUAUAUAAACGUGAAGCGAACAAAUACCAGACUGCCUGUUACAGAGCAAAGGCAACUGCUGCUUUUUCUCUGAUAACUAGCAAAGACAACAGACUUGGCACUUAGUUGUAAACCAGACUUCUGAAUAACCUGCAGCACUGCCUGCCUCAUACACAACCAUCUCCCCCCUGGCUGGUGGAACAACAUUAUAUGAACCGGAUACUUGAUUCUGGCACUGUUAGAAAGAGACAUUUUGGCGUAGUUGGCAGGAUUAUGCCAGCGGAGGUACGUACAUGCGCAUAUCAGGUAGAAAGUUAUCUCUUAAUUGGCUGUACGGCAGAGUAGCUUUGACCAGAAUGUCAUCACCUAAAUUGCCGGCAAGUGUCUUGGUUAUUCAGAGGACAUGGGAAUAUUUGGCCAAAUGGAAAGAACAAAAUUGGAACUCUGUAAUUUCAGUAUUGUUACAACUAAUUUUUACAAAGGUCAAUCUUUUUUUUUUUUUUUAUAUUAUUAUUAUAAUUUGUUUGUUUAUUUUUCCAGUGUUAUUUCUUCAAUGCAAUAUUAGAGAGGACAGUCGAAUAUUUUUGACAGUAUUAUAUAUUCCCUCAGCAAUGUUACAGAAGCUGUUAUGUAAUGAAUGGUUGGAUGAUCAUAAGUACAAAUCUUGUACCAUAUUCUGUCUUUGGCCUGCCAAUAUGUAUGAUAAUGUAAUUACAGCCAUUGUUACAAGUUUAUAAUGUAUUUUUCUAUCUUCUUUUUGUAUGUAUAUUAUAAAAAAAACAAAAAAAAGACUUGUUUUUCUGACGGACGCCCUGCAAAAUUUUAAUAGCCCCUUGCCUCCCAUUGCUGCUGCUUAUUUUCUUGGCCUGUCACUGGGAGUGUUGCCUUUCCUAGAAAUCCAGUUCCUAGCUUUGUCAACUCAUUAGCCUCAUUAUUAGUUCUCUUGUAUUUUUUACAUGCUUGCAUUUAGUUUCAUGGUGAUUUAUUUUUUCCUGUUUGUUUGUUUUUGAUUUUUUUUCCCUAUUAACCUCCUGCAAAUUAUUUUAAUAAACAUUCUAGUAUGGAUUUUACUAACUUGCUGAUUUUAAUUUUUUUUUUUUUUUAUUUUGUUGUCGUUUUUGUCUUGUGUUUAUAACCUGUUACUGAAUGUAUGGUCUGGUUCACUGGACUAACACAUUAAAAUGUUGGUGUUUGUUUAGCCAUAAACACGCCAUCCUACGUACCUUCACUCAUCCACACACACACACACACACACACACACACACACACAGCAGUGACCUAUUCCAUGAAACUCUCUGACACAGUUACAACAAACGCUGUUUUGUCCUCUUGGCCUACUUUGCACUGAGAGCUGCUUCACAUUUGGUAUAAUCAUGUAAACCCGGAGAGGUUGAUGUAUACCAACAAGACCAUUUGGGAUCAAUUGUUCUCCAUUUAAGAAUCUUUUUUAGCUUCUCUGUCGCCUUCAAGCUACAGCACAUCUCUAUGUACUAAUUUUAAACCAAUUCUAGUGCUUCUCUCUUUCACUAAUGUAAAGUGUAAUAAACUCAAAGGUGCACAAGCAAUGAUUAACUUAUUAAUCACUUCUUCUUUAACCCCUUGAGUGCUGACUACAUUUUUGUGCCAUAAAAUAUUUUAAAUUUCCUCCCAUCUGGGGGCUUUAUUUUCUUUAUGUGCUGCCCUCAGAGAUACUGAAUGCAUAUCCCCCUUGGAAGUGUUGUUAGAAAACAGUUCUGAGCAGACGCCAGUGCUAGUCCAGUUCUGCUUCUAGACAUGACAUGGAUCAUAUAGCCAAAACAGGACCUUUCUUUGUUGUAUUUCAUUGUAUUUUUUUUUUUUUUUUGCAUAUUUUGCAUUCACUGAAGCAUGUUCAGUCCUGAUCCUCAAAAAUCUAUGAUCUGUUAGAAUUUAUUGAACACCUCAACUGGUGGAUUUUAAUCUUUUAAAGAGUUCAUCUUUUCUAGCAUUUUGUCGUGAUCAGGACACACAAUGCUUCUGUCGAAUCUGGUCAGGCACUAGUAAUAAGGCAAAAAAAAAAAAAAAAAAUGGAGCAAUCCACAUGCCAUUACAAAGCUAUGCAUACUCCUCACAUAGGUGCCCAUUUUGAGACUGGACUUCUAAAUAGAAAUGAAAGCUCCAAAAGCCUUUCAGACAUUCCUGAUUAUGAAAAUGGGAGGUGAACAAUUUGGGAGUGAAAA